rnacentral:lncRNA from 1 species
UUGUUGUUGCGAUGGGUUCCGGGUUGCGUUCGUGUACGCAAGUAAAAGACUUUACGGAACGGUUUCUUGGUAUCCUGAUAUUACUGAUUGGCGUGCGUUUAACGUUUGAGAAAAACAAAGGUGACGAGAAAGAGCGGCGACUUGUGUUUAGGGUUGAUGAAAGUUUCAGGCUCAUGUUUAGAUGAGGAGGAAGUGGAAGUGAAGAAAAUUAAUUUAAGUAAAAACAAAGGGCGAGGAGUAGAGCAAGCAAAUGGGAAAGAUCCUUAAACUGCGCCGACUUUUGUCUGUGUCUUUGAGAAAGUUGUUCUCUAUUCUAUAUAUAGGUAACAGAAAUACAUCGCGCCAAAAAUAGAUCACGUCAUAGUCGUGUUCCGAUACAACCACGUCUGCCAAAAUUUAGGGGGCAAUGGAAGUGUACUGUUUUUUUUCCCCUUUUUUUACCACAAAUUUAUGGUGAAACUCGAAACUUUUCACCUAAUAAAUGAAGGAAAAGUUAUCUGAAAAUAUUUAAAAAAAAAGUAUAUGUAUCUACGACUUAAAAUUAAAAUAAUCUUUUAAUAGUAACAUAUGUGAAUGUUAAUUAACAAAUAAAUAAUAUUAAUGGAGGGGUAGAAUAUGGACGAAAGUGAAUCCGCAGAACCCGACUGCUAUUUUUUUUUCUAUUCUAUUAUGAAUAUUAAAGUAGAAGAAAAGAAAGCCAGGUCUGAGCAUCCUGGCGGCUGCUGUUGAAAUUGCUUUGUAUUGCCGGCUUAGUUCAGGUUGGGACAAAAGGGGAAGUGAUUGUAGUAAGAUAGUCCUGUAAAGAAUUCUUGGUUGUAUCAUAAUCAAACAGUUAUUUUGCUUUUUUUUUUUUGCUUUGCUUUUUUUUUUUUUUUUAUUACGUGAGAUUAUUGCUCGGAUUACAAUCCAGGCAUCCAUAGCCUUUGGAGCCCAGUUUCUACAUCUGAAUUAUCUCAAACGACUUUGUAGUUUGUAACAAAAUUAAAAGCUCAUGUACAACAAAGCAUCAGCUGCCAGCAGCCUGUAGGUGGAGGAAACAGGAUACAUGAUGACAUGAAUUGUGCCUCGAAGUACUAAAACAUAGAGACCAUCAAAGUCAAUUAAAGGCCAUUCACUAAUUAAAGCAAUUACAACCAGCAAAGACUUUCCCUUCUCGCUUCAUAACCAAACAGCGAGUCCUCUUCUGCAUAGCCAACAACACAUUCUGCCACGUGUUGACUCUGGACGCCCCCGCCUUGAUCCCAACAUGACUUACCCCAACACCAACGUUCAUCUCAGUCAAUUCCUCAGUCUUAAAGCCCAACACCUCCUCCGGCUCGGCCCCGUCGAGCACCAUUAUCAGGCACGAACAAAACCCUUUUGAAAUCUCUGAAUCACUGUCGGCUCUGAACCUCAUUCUUCCUCUCUCGUCCAUCACUACCUCAAGCCACACCUGCGUGGCGCAACCCGCCACCUUGUUCGCCUGCACGCGCCCUGAGUCGUCCAACCCCGGCAAGACCGCCGCGUAAUCUAACAGACGUUUGACCCGGUCAAUGGGUUCCGUUAAUGAAUCGAAUUCUGACACCAGCAGUUGAAGUUUAGUGCUUGUUGUUGCGAUGGGUUCCGGGUUGCGUUCGUGUACGCAAGUAAAAGACUUUACGGAACGGUUUCUUGGUAUCCUGAUAUUACUGAUUGGCGUGCGUUUAACGUUUGAGAAAAACAAAGGUGACGAGAAAGAGCGGCGACUUGUGUUUAGGGUUGAUGAAAGUUUCAGGCUCAUGUUUAGAUGAGGAGGAAGUGGAAGUGAAGAAAAUUAAUUUAAGUAAAAACAAAGGGCGAGGAGUAG